rnacentral:misc_RNA from 1 species
UUUUUCUUUUUUUUUUUUUUUACUUUUUUUCUUUUUUUUUUUAGGAGAUGCAACAAAUACUGCAUUGCAAGACCUCAGGGGCAUCAUUUCAACAAGCUAACCAAAGAAGGCUAGGAGUGGCAGUAAGCCAAUUACAAGGCAAUUGAUUGUGCAGACAAAAAUUAGCUAGAAUUUAUAUGUGAAAUUAAAAUAAAUAAAACCUAACGUUGAAAACCAAGCAACGCCAUCUAUUAGGCUUUCUCUGCAUGAUAGAAAUUUUUUAGUACGUCAAAUAUACUCUAUAAUUUGUCUUUUUAGAUAUGGACUUUAAGAAAGGAUAAUAAAUAGCACUUUCCGGUCACUUUUGAAAAGUUGGCCUGAAGGCAUUCAAACAAAGAUUUGGUAAUUUAUUUGCAGAACAAUGCUCUAAACAAACAUUAUGAACUUCAGCCUAGAGUUUUCCUAUAAAAAUCAUCCAAACCAAUUUAAAUGCCAGAAAAAUAAUUACAGAAUAAUUCAACAGGCCCGAAUAAAAUUUUGGCAGGAAUCCUACCGAAUAUGAAGAAGA